rnacentral:rRNA from 1 species
GAUGAACGCUGGCGGUAUGCUUAACACAUGCAAGUCGAACGCAGACUUUCGGGUCUGAGUGGCGGACGGGUGAGUAACGCGUGAGAAUCUGGCUUCAGGUUGGGGACAACCACGGGAAACGGUGUCUAGUACCCAAUGUGCCGUUAAGGUGGAAGAUUAAUUUCCUGAAGAUGAGCUCGCGUCUGAAUAGCUAGUUGGUGGGGUAAGAGCUCACCAAGGCGACGAUCAGUGGAUGGUCUGAGCGGACGAUCAGCCACACUGAGACAGAGACGCGGCCCAGACUCAUGCGGGAGGGAGCAGUGGAGAAUUGUCCGAAAGGGGCAAGAGUCUGACAGAGCCAUACCGCGCGAGGGAGGGAGGCUCUUGGGGUGUAAACCUCUUUCCUCAGGGAAGGAGGCAAUGACGGUACCUGAGGAAUCAGCAUCGGCUAACUCCGUG